AUGAGAAGAAAACUGGUUUCAACAACAAUCUGUCUUUGGCGCAACUGAUAGCUUCUCUGAUUCCAGCUUCACUUUCUGUCGAAGGAGCAGUGAUCAUGGGGAAAUGUAGGGUAGAGGUGUGUGUGUGACAUUUUUAAUGAUGGACCACGACCAUAAAAUGAGUCUGUUUUGGUGUCUCUGCAGAAUGUUACAUAAGAUUUGCCCUGUUUUCCAAGAGGACUGUGGUACGUGUAAUAUACAAAAAUGUAAUAUGUCACCUCAAACUCAUGUCUUGGCUGGCAUUCAGCAUGAAAACUCUGACAGUUAUGUUUUUUCCUUAUAUUUAUGUACAUUCUACCUGAUUCUAAAAAGAAUAUUUAAGAUCGUUAUAGUCAAAACCAUAGACAUAACUGAAUCUAAAAGCCUUUAGGAUGAGAUUAAAAGGACAAGAGCC
rnacentral:lncRNA from 1 species